rnacentral:rRNA from 1 species
AACGAACGCUGGCGGCAGGUCUUAGGCAUGCAAGUCGAACGGGUGUAGCAAUACAUCAGUGGCGCACGAGUGAGUAACGCGUGGGAAUUUGCCCAUCGGUGGGGAAUAACGUUUGGAAACGAACGCUAAUACCGCAUACGUCGAGAAAUCGAGAAAGAUUUAUCGCCGAUGGAUAAGCCCGCGUUGGAUUAGCUUGUUGGUAGGGUAAUGGCCUACCAAGGCGAUGAUCCAUAGCUGGUCUGAGAGGACGAUCAGCCACGCUGGGACUGAGACACGGCCCAGACUCCUACGGGAGGCAGCAGCUAAGAAUAUUGGACAAUGGAGGAAACUCUGAUCCAGCCAUGCCGCGUGAGUGAAGAAGGCCUUCGGGUUGUAAAGCUCCUUUGGUCGUGAGGAUGAUGACGGUAGCGACAGAAAAAGCACCGGCUAACUUCGUGCCAGCCGCCGCGGUAA